UCCAAUCCUAGUGUAUCUUCUUCAGACUUACCCGCUAUCGUUGCUAGUCCUCAUCAGUACUUUGGAGACGUGAGCGAGGCUGUGUCUGAGCUGAGGGAGAAACUACAAGGCUUCCUUAAAGGACAACGGACCAAGAUCUCCAGCGCAGUGAAUACAGUGGAUGUUCUAUUACCUCCUGAGCCCAAGACCAGAGAACAGUUCUUACAAUAUUCCUGUCAGCUGACUCUGGACCCAAACACAGCACAUUACAACCUCUCUUUGUCUGAUGGGAUCAAAAAGAUAACAGCUAAACCAGGCCAUUCAUAUCUUGACCAUCCAGACAGAUUCCCUGACCGCUGCCAGGUGCUGUACAGUGAGGGUCUGUCUGGACGAUGUUACUGGGAGGUGGAGAGGAGUGGGAACAGUGUUUCUAUAGCAGCCUCAUAUAAAGAUAUUAAGAGAACAGGUGGUAAUGACUCAGUAUUAGGACUCAAUGACAAGUCCUGGAGUUUACGGCAUCAUCAUGGUGGUUAUCAUUUCAGACACAAUAAUGUUGCCACUCAAGUAUCAGGCCCUCUGUCAUCCAGAGUAGGAGUGUACCUGGAUCACAAGGCAGGUUCUCUGUCCUUCUACAGUGUUUCUGGUACAAUGAGCCUCCUCCACAGAGUCCGGACCACAUUCACUCAGCCCCUCUAUCCUGGGUUUGGCUUUGGUUAUUUUGGAGAUACCGCAGAGCUGUGUAAGUUGUAGAGGUUGCCUUACUGGAUGUGCCUUAUCAUGUACUUUAACCCUGUGCAGUUAUUGCAUUCUAUGAUUUAAGGCGAUAUCUUGAUGUUUAGCCAAUGUUUCAGUCUUGUACAUUCCCAUUCAUCUCCAUGUAUUCUCACUUUGAUAUAAAUG